GUCGCUGCCAAUUCAGCGACCGGGCUUGGUAACCCGAUGGAAUAAGGCGCAACAGCGCCCCAAACACGUUUGCAGGCGUUUUUUUU
rnacentral:sRNA from 1 species